CAGUUACCUUCCAUUCCUGUAUGCGUGUAUUGUGGAUUAUAUGUGUGUACAUAUUACAGUCCACCUCGCCCUCGCCCUCCUCCUCGUGCUGCUGCCACUUCGCCCUAAAUGAGCCGACUGCUGUGUUUAUUAUAAUGAUCGACCCACCAUCACCCCCGUUUUAUAUAUCGCUGACUAACCGAUUGCGGACGUCCUAACUAACAAUAACCACCUGUUAACUAACCAUGUCUCCAUCUACGGACACGCACACACAUACGCCUCACGCUUGCAGCUCCUUCCCUGUACCUCAAUUCGUAGGCUUACUAUUGUACAUGUCGUACAUGCCUCAAACUGACGUACGGAACAGGGGCUGUGCGUAGCGGUUUUUCCGGUGCGGCACAUCAGGCCCCCCAUCACCCGCUCUUCACCCAGAGGGCUCCAGAGGCCCUUUCGCAGGUUUGCACGAUGUUGCCUCUCACGCGACAGUCGACAAAUAUUAUACAUACAUACAUAUGCAUACAAAUUUACAUAAAGGCAUUCAGACGCGCACAAACACACGUAUAUAAAUACAGACGUACACAAAUAACGACGCAUUGGUUUCAUCCUGGAUGAUCGCACUGAUGGUACUCAUAGUACUACGGCAGGUACUACGGCAGGUAGUACGGCAGGUAGUACGGCAGGUAGUACGGCAGGUAAUAACAAUAGCAGACAAUUAGAAAUAGAUACACAAAGAGUUUAGUAGUAUAUGCUCAGAGUUUAAUGAAUCGUACCGAAUCCAAUGCGCGUCUCCCCAUUGACACUUGUCUCGCUCUCCCUCUCCUUCUCUCUCUCCUCUCCUCUCUCUCAAACAGCGACCCUUACCACGACCCUCGCAAAGCCAAGUCACAAACUCCUGCCAAGACAAAUAUUUGCCAGCGCCAAAAUAAUUUACAAGACACAAUCCCGCUAGCUAGCUAGCUAGCUAGAUAUUCAUGGCGGGUUCGAAGGACCCUCCUGCACGCGCCCGGAAAACACCUUCCCUCACAGCUGCGGGAACCGACAUCGCAGGACCGAGCCAAAGUACAAAACUGACAUAAUUGUACAAACACGUGCCAUAUCCGUAUUAUGCCGUAUUCCGUACUCCGUACAUGCUGCAGUACAACAAACGUCGAAUAUACAUUCGGGAAUGGCACACACGCAAGAGAGCGGUCCUCGCUUUUGCAACACGCGCGCACAAUCAUACCACUUGGGGUGCCAUGUACGUCAUGUCGUACAUGGCCUAUUGCGGCAACGGAGGCGGCGCCUCUCUCGGUGUACCGCUAGAUGCUUCUCCCCCCGGGACCUGGGGACCUUCCCUACCAAUACCCGGCACGGCUGUUUUGGUAGAUCAGGAUCAGGACAGGCACCCGAUAGCUUAGCGGCACCCGCCACAGCGGCACCCUCCCGUUCCGCACCUGAUCCAGUUCGGGAGACUGUUUGAGAGUGCUGCGGAGCGACGCCGCACGGGUCGUACACGUACGUGAGCAUGAACCCCUGCGCCGUACGUCAUACAACCGCAUGGGUUACAUGGUUUGGUGAGGCCGGGGGGAGGCGCAGAGAAGGAUGACAUGAUGACGACCUGCAUGAAGAACUGCGUUUCACACCCCAAUACGCGAAUGAUGCUGCGCUUGGUAUUCUUUGAGUGGGUGAGUGAGUGAGGGAGGGAAUAUGCCCCCCCC
rnacentral:lncRNA from 1 species